UACAGAGGGGGGCAAGCGUUGUUCGGAAUUACUGGGCGUAAAGGGCGCGUAGGUGGCCUGCUAAGUCACACGUGAAAUCCCUCGGCUCAACCGGGGAACUGCGUGUGAUACUGGCGGGCUUGAAUCCGGGAGAGGGAUGCGGAAUUCCAGGUGUAGCGGUGAAAUGCGUAGAUAUCUGGAGGAACACCGGUGGCGAAGGCGGCGAUCCUGGACCGGUAUUGACGCUGAGGCGCGAAAGCUAGGGGAGCAAACGGG
rnacentral:rRNA from 1 species